rnacentral:misc_RNA from 1 species
UCCUAGCUCAUGGCCUCAGUACUAG